GGGGAAUAUUGGACAAUGGGCGGAAGCCUGAUCCAGCAACGCCGCGUGAGGGAUGACGGCCUUCGGGUUGUAAACCUCUUUCAGCAGGGACGAAGCGCAAGUGACGGUACCUGCAGAAGAAGCACCGGCCAACUACGUGCCAGCAGCCGCGGUAAUACGUAGGGUGCGAGCGUUGUCCGGAAUUAUUGGGCGUAAAGGGCUCGUAGGCGGUUUGUCGCGUCGGGAGUGAAAACCAGGUGCUUAACACCUGGCUUGCUUUCGAUACGGGCAGACUAGAGGUAUUCAGGGGAGAACGGAAUUCCUGGUGUAGCGGUGAAAUGCGCAGAUAUCAGGAGGAACACCGGUGGCGAAGGCGGUUCUCUGGGAAUGACCUGACGCUGAGGAGCG
rnacentral:rRNA from 1 species